rnacentral:rRNA from 1 species
GACAGAGGUCCCGAGCGUUAGGCGGAAUCACUGGGCUUAAAGCGUGUGUAGGCGGAUUUGUAAGUACCUUGUGAAAUCCCACGGCUUAACCGUGGAACUGCUGGGUAUACUGCUUAUCUUGGGCCAUCUAGGGCGAGCGGAACAAACGGUGGAGCGGUGAAAUGCGUAGAUAUCGUUGGAACGCAAUGGUGAAACAGCUCGCUGGGAUGUGCCGACGCUGAGACACGAAAGCCAGGGAGCGAACGGG